rnacentral:rRNA from 1 species
UACGUAGGGGGCAAGCGUUGUCCGGAUUUAUUGGGCGUAAAGAGCGUGUAGGCGGCUUUACAGGUCCGUUGUGAAAACUCGAGGCUCAACCUCGAGACGCCGGUGGAAACCGUAAGGCUAGAGUCCGGAAGAGGAGAGUGGAAUUCCUGGUGUAGCGGUGAAAUGCGUAGAUAUCUGGAGGAACACCGGUGGCGAAGGCGGCAUCCUGGACCAAUACUGACACUGAGGAGCGAAAGCCAGGGGAGCAAACGGG